rnacentral:lncRNA from 1 species
AGGACAAUUACGAUAUUUUCCUGAUGUUGGAAUUCCCUAGCUCUUCUCUUUUCAAGUUCUAAAUUAUUUCAUUUUCCGGCAUGCAGUUGUUUGCAUCUUUGCAUAUCUGCUUUCUCUGAAUGCCAAACCACAGUUCCACUUCUCUCCAAAACCAUGUGUUUGCAAAGACAUCUCCAAACCUUGGAAGAAAUCUAUAAUAUUUAUUCUAAGCAUAGAGAGAGUUGUUUAAGACUUUAAACAGUGGGUUAAAUCUCAGAGUCAUUACUUUGUGUUUUUGUUUGUUUGUUUGUUUUUAGCCUUUUAUCAGGUAAUGUUACAUUUGAUUAAAUGGGUGCCUGUUUAAAUACAACCAUGUGGCUGCAUUGCUGAACUCUGGGAAAUGAGUUAGAGCCAAACACGGAACUUCUACCCUGCCUUCCUGUGGGUGGAUGAUUGUACCAGUCGAGACCUAACUGCUAUUAUCCAUGAUGUAACUAAGCAACACCACCUUCAUGUUAUUGAUGGGUCUGAGUGCACACAGAUCUUGCUGACUGGGACGAGCAUUGGUACACUCCCCUGUAACUGGGGGAAGUAUUUCUUCUCAGCUAUCUAUUCUCAGCAUGUGCUAUGAGAAGAGAAAUGCCAUGGUGACCAAAUGCAGGUACUCUGAGGGCUGGGAAGUGAUUGAAGAAAUGAACAUCCAGUCCCAUCCCACCAUGCUUGCACAGUAGGCAGAUAUUCAGGAUUUGUUUUAUCACCAGGGUCAUUGUACAGCCCUGUACCUUACCAUCCACUUUUGAACUCUGCUGUGGGGAGAGAGCUAUUUCCACCUUCCGGUGAUUGUCCAUCAUGC